rnacentral:rRNA from 1 species
UACGGGGAGGGAGCUAGCGUUGAUUCGGAAUUAGCUAGGGGCGUAAAGCGCACCGUAAGGCGGCUUUGUAAGAUUUACGAGGGUGAAAAGCCCCGGGGGCUCAACUCCGGAACUGCCUUUAAGACUGCAUCGCUAGAAUCCGGGAGAGGUGAGUGGAAUUCCGAGUGUAGAGGUGAAAUUCGUAGAUAUUCGGAAGAACACCAGUGGCGAAGGCAGCUCGCUGGGACGGUACUGAACGCGUGAGAACGCGAAAGCGUGGGGAGCAA